GAGAACUAGUCAAGGUAUGCUUGCAGAACCUGCUGUACCUUCGGCUGCUGCUAGAGUUCCUUGUGGGCCAAGGUCGCCUCUCUAUUAUAGAAAUAAUUAUUCUUACAUGAUGAAACAUGGAUUUCCAAAAUACCACUCUUCCAUUAUGGAAAGAAACCUGUUGGGGCCUUCAAGAAUCAUGAACCCGCAUGCACCUGAGUUUGUGCCAAUGAGAGGUUGGCAAAUAAAUCCUGGAUAUGCAGAUUCAAAUGUUUCAAAUGAGUCGAACUCUUCAAAUGACACAAGUGAGGCAGACGAUGAGAAACUUGACAAAAUGUCCAGUAUUCAAGGCGAGGAUAAUACCUCAAGAAAGAGCAGUACAGAGGCGGAGAAGUCAGAGCUGGCAAGACAGAUACUACUUAGCUUCAUUGUAAAGUCAGUCCAGCAUAAUAUGGAUGCUCCAAGUCAUUCUUCAGGCUACGAAAAGAAGAUUGGGUAUUCUGAAAAUUCUUCAGAUGCAAUUGCAAAUGAUAAAUUGUUAGUUAACAGAUUGCAAAUGAUCCUUUAUGGAAAUGAAAAGGGCAAAACAAACUUGGCAUCUCAGUCCAAUGAUCAAGAACAGCAAAAACCGAAAGAUGAAAACCAAAAAAGUGGGGAUGGUGAAGGAUUUAUAGUUGUCAGAAAACGGAGAAGAAACCGACAGCAGAUCACAAAUGGGGUAACUGAGAUGUACAAUCAUCAAUCCAUCUGUGCUUCUGUUCGUUAAAAGAGAGAGCAAAGCAAUAAAAUGCAAAGGUGCCGUCCUGUUUCUCCCAAUUUUAUUCGAAAAAUUUGUCAGUGAAUGUUACCGUUGUAGAAAUGGUUAAAGUUUGGAGCAAGUUUUAAUCAAUACUUGAUUGUAUCAUUUUAGACAUCCUCUCUGGAUGUUCUAAUAUAAUAUUUGUACAAAUUGGUUUCUUGUUUUGUUAAGAGAUUUUGUUUUGAUCAAUAAAUGAUGAUAAAUUAAUUGGGCGAUUUUCCUCAUCAAGAGAUCUGUGAUGUUGUUCUAUAAUGGAUCUUAAUGUUUUAGACUGAGAUUUGUAGUUAUGCCUCAAAUUAUUUGGUAUUUGGUUGGUGCGUGUGAACAAUACGUUCGGAAUGGAGUUGAAUUGGGUUAUCUUAUAUCAAAUGUCUGAAAUUUAAUUUUCUUACAUUUGCAGCUGAAGUUGCUGCACUGAUGAUAUUACAACUAACAUAGUAUUUGGCAAAAUUCCUCAUUCAAUUUAAAUUUGCAAUCAACAGAAACUGAAGAACAAGCCGUAAGUCUAAUCCUAAUGGAUGCAUAGCUGUUUGGAGAAAAGCCAACGGAGACAUAACACAGCACGAUAAGUUAUACACGGCAGAACCGUAUGUGCUAGUAAGCACAGUCACCAAUGGAAAACAUAUUUGAAAAGCCAAUAGUAGCAUGUGUCAAUACAUCUAUCAAUGAAAUAGAACCACAGUCUGCGCCAGUACGAGUUUAUCCAAAGUGCUGCAAAGAAGCCCAAAAUCACCGACACAUAGGAUGCUCCAAAACUCCAUCUUAAUGCCACCAUAUCAAUCACAGAAUCGCCUUCAUCUUCUCCUCCUCCUGUAGGUGUCGCUGGUGGUGCCAACGCACUGCUGCAUUUCCUCUUUAUCAUUGAGCCACAAAGAGCCGAAUUACCUUUAUAACUGCUGUCAUCAAACGUGCCAAACUGCUCUUUGUCUGGGAUUGGGCCGGACAAAUUGUUGUAUGACACGUUGAAGUUUGAUAAAAAGUUGAGGUCAGUUAGUUGAAGAGGAAUUCGGCCACUUAAUUUGUUGCGGGAAAGGUCCAGGCUCUCUAUCAUUUUCAGAUUGGAGAAGCUCUCUGGUAUAGCACCUGAUAGUAAAUUAUUGGACAGAUUAAGUGCACGAAUAUGUUGAAGAUGCCCAAUUUCCCAUGGAAUUUCUCCACUGAACUCAUUGCUCGAAAAAUCCAAUCCAGCCAUGUCGACGAGAUUGAGACCGAUGAAAAAUUCAUAUCUAUACUUUGUCACAAAUUCUACACCUACUUGUUGAUCUACUCUACUAUGUAGUUCACCUUGCGGCUGCUGAUCAAGAGUGGAAUUGUAGUAAGUAGAAGCGGAAUCAUGAUUAGACACACCAAAUCCAGAUCCAUAUGAAUAAUCAACAAUCACUUCUCCCCAGAAUGACAGGUUACCCAGGCAUGAAGGUAUCGGCCCAUUAAGUCUGUUAUGUGAAAGAUCCAUGAUACCUAAUUUUCUUAAUUGGCACAACUGAUUAGGAAUACGUCCUUGUAGAUAAUUCCCUCUCAAAAGAAGAACAUGCAAAUUCGAAAGCUCAUUGAUCUGAUGAGGAAUCCUACCAAAAAGUUUAUUGUCCCUCAAAUCUAGAGUCAAUAAUGUAGAGCUUCGAAGCAAUGCAAUUGGAAUUAACCCAUUAAUUGCAUUGUUAUGCAGAUAAAUGUGCCCCACUGAUGAAAGAUUGGAGAGAGAUACCAUGGACCCAGACAAACUAUUUUCGGAUAUGUCUAUAAACUCAAGACUUUCAAGAUUGCCGAGCUGGACCGGAAUACUACCUUGCAAAUAAUUUUCUGACAUUAAAAGAAGCCAAAGGUGUGAGAAGUUGCCAAUCCAGUGGGGAAUAUCGCCGGAUAACUUGUUGUUGGAUACAUCUAAUACCCCCAGCAAAGGGGAGCUCAACAAACCAUCUGUCAUCUUCCCACUGAAAUGAUUGUUGUCCAAACGUAAGGAACGCAAAUGAGUCAAGUUCAUAUAAUUGGGAAAAAGUUGGCCAUAGAAAUUGUUAUUUGAUAGGUCCAACAUAUCUAAGGGGAGGCAACUAGAGAAUAUAGAUCGAGUUAAUUCUCCUGAAAAAUUAUUUCCAGACAAAUCCAAAGUAAUUAGCUCUUUCAUCUCACUGAUUGAAUAAGGAAUAUUACCUUCAAAACUAUUUUUUGACAUAUCCAAAUAUAUCAAUUUCUGAAAGACAAUACCCAAAUUCUCUGGUAGCUUACCAGAGAAAUUGUUAGUGGAAAUAUCUAGAUAACGAAGCUUAUCGUAUUUGGCAUUGGGAAGUCGCGGAAGAAUUCCUGAGAAUGAGUUAUUCCACAAAAUCAAAACUUCUAAUCCUGUGUUGUUUUGCAACAACCAAGUUGGGAAAUUGCCAACCAACUGAUUGUGAGAGAGAUCAAGGAAUUUUAAGUUGGAUUGGUGUAAAAGAAAACUGGGAUUGACAUUUAAGCGGCAGUGAGGUAAUUGGAGAACCUUGAGAGGAUAUGUGGGGAGCCAGUUUUCGGUUUUCACUUGCAACAUAUCGUUUUGUGGCGAGAGUAGCAAGACCUCAAGCUUUGAAUGAUUAGCCAAUGAAUUUAUUGAGAAUGUUCCUUGGAAAUCGAUGAAAGAGAGAUCCAAAUAUUCAAGUGAUGUGAGGUUGGUCAAGGCAGAAGGAAAUUUUCCACUUAACUGAUUGUAAGAAAUAUCAAGAACUUUGAGAUGGGUCAAGUUGUUGAGACACUGAGGAAGGUGAACCACAAAAUUAUUUAACCUUAAAUCCAACUCAAGAAGAUUCUUCAAAUUACAUAUUCCUGAAAGUGAAAAUAAAAAGCUCAGAUGUCAUAAAACGAAAACUAAUUAUAGCGCAUUCAAUCAUAAACCCAAUAUAAGACUUAUAAAACAGUCAUGAAAUCAAAUUGUCUAAGUAUUUUGGUCAACAUAAAUAAUAAUAGAAUGAUAUGAAUUUAUUUCUCAUAUAAUAUGAUGUUGAUUGCAAAAGCGUUUCAAUUAAUCUAACAAUAAAAUAAUAAUAAUAAUAAUAUAAAAGCAGUCAGCAAUUCUUGCUCAUCAUAAUCCAUUCAAAAAGCAUUUCAGCAAUUCUCGUUGUUUAAAAUAAUGAUUUUCUGCGGAAGAGUUUGUUGACUUCGUCUUUUUCGUUGGAUAUUGGUUCUCUAAUCUCUAAAUUUGUUGGAUAAUGUAAAGAGAAACUCAUAAUAUAUUAGUUGCUUUCUUAAACUUUAUUUAUUCUUCUCAUAGCAUUAAAAAAAUAUAUAUAUUUGCCCAAGCGGAAAAAAAAAAAAAAGCUGGUCUUCAUAUUUAAUUUGACCAACAAGUCACUGGGAAGUAGGAAUUGUGUAUCAGUAAUGCAAAUAUUGGGUGCGUUGGCAUUGUUUUUAUAUGCUUUUUUUUUUUAUUUUUUGAAUUUAGAAAACAUUAGAUACGUGUUCGGUAGAUUGUUUCUGAAAAUAUUUUUAAAAAUAUAAAAUUCAUUCUACACAUUUUAACAAAAGAAAUGAGAAACAAUUUUUUCUUAUUUUCCUUAUUUCCCAAUACAAUAUUAAGUUCCAAAAUGAAGAAUUCUCUGUACCUCCUCCUGAAAUAAUAAUAAUAUCAACAUUAUUAUUAUUAUUAUUAUCAUUAGGUCUAAUUAUCCCUAGGUGACAGAUGUUUUAAUAAAUUUCAAAAAAAUGACACAUGUUUUGAAAACACUCGAGUGGGUGACAUUCCAUUAACUUUUGUUGUUAAUUUUAACCAGUCGAGGGUAGAGUUGAAAAAAUAAUUUUUUUUUUCAUAAAGCCAAAGAGAUGAAAAUAUUGAAUUUAUACAGUACUUUAUAAUUCAUAAGAUUUUUGCUUCUUUAUAUUCACAAAUCAGUUUGAUCAACAAGAAUUUUUUAAAAUUUAUUUGAUUUAACAAAAAAAACCUGGUAAUUAGACUUAUGUUUAUUUUUUUAUAUUUUAUAUUUAAAAAAUUAAAAAUGAGUGAGUAUGGGCAGAAACAUCAUUUUGUGGGGUAGAAAAGUCAUUUAAUUUACUAUUCUCAUUAAAAUUAAUGACAAAAGUUAAUAGAAUGUCACUCGCUCAAAUAUUUUUAAAAAAUGUCAUCUUCUUAAAAUUUGUUAAAACAUAUGUCACCUAGAGAUUAUUGUUGUUGUUGUUGUUGUUGUUGUUGUUGUUGUUGUACCCAAAGAAUCAUUUUCCUUCACAAAAAUCUUUUCUUUUUAUAUACAUUAUAAUAUUUAUGUUUUUAUAUAUUAACUAAAUCAAAUAUGUAGGGUUUAUCAUUUUUCUUUGAACAAAAAAAUAGAAAGAUCACCUAAUUUAUUCUUAAAAUUAAAAUAAUCAAUAUACAUUGCUUAAUCUUAAGUUUAUGGAAAUUAUUCCAAUAAUAAUUCUUUGAGAUAUUCUUACCAAACAUAUUUAUGUUUUUCUCAUUUUUCAGAUUAUUUUUUAAAAUGAUACGGAACACAUUUUUAAAUUUUAAAAAUAAAUUUAAAAAUAGCAUUUUCAUUUUUAUUUUGUAAAAACAACAAUUAGAAAACAAUAUUGGGCUAUUAUUUAUCAUGUUUCAACAUAAAAACACAGUGUAAAUUGUUUAAUAUGGGUUUCUAGAGAAUUUUUUAUGUUACUAUUACUCAAAUUCAAUGCUUCCAAGCUUUUGAAUUUAGCUAAUCUUGCAUCAAGAAUUAAUGAACAUAAGAAAAAAAACAUUUCAUUCAGAACUAUAAAUAUUGAAAUAAAGAUAAAUAUCAUUGUUGAUUUUUUUAUAAAAAUGAUUUAGAAUUAAGAGAGAGUGAGAGAAAUGAGCGGGUUAUUUCGGAAAUUGGUGAUAGAGUAUAUCAAGUACUAAACUUUGUAUAGAAAGCAGUGCUUCUAAUUUAAAUUUGAUCUAGUUUAAAGCAAUUAAAAAAUGGAAAUAUAUUAUCAUCUUGAUUAACAUCUAAAACAAUUUUUGUCAUUGGAGGAAGUGAAUUGUUAUAUACCUUGAAUUGUAGUUAUCCCACAAGAGCCAAGAUCCAAUGUUUUCAAGUUUGGCAAAUCUGCGAAUCCUACAUGCGCCGAUAAAAAAUGAAAAUAUUACAUUUAAAGGCAUUGUAUGUGAUCCGCGCGUUUGAUGAACAUUAAUUCUACAUUUAAUUUGCUUCUUAUCUCAGAUUCAGUGGCCUACCUAGCAUUGUCAGAUUUUGAUUAUCGCUUAAAUCCAACACUUGUAGGUUUGUCAAAUUUGCUAAUCCUGUUAAAAAAGGUAAAUUUUGUCAAUAACAGUUAUGUCACUCUCGUCUAAAUUGUUUAAUUAAAAUAAUAUGGUAAAUAUUGAAUGAAAAUUAACUGUGCACAUUGUUAUUUUUUUGUUUAUAUUGAUAUUUUAAUAUAUACCGUCACUUUUAGCAUUACCAAGAUUUGGAGUGUUUGAAUCAUAAUUUGUAAAUUAGUUAGCACUUUGAGUAAACUUGAAAAUGUGAAAAAAGAAAUUAAAAAAUGCAAAUAUAUUAUCAUCUUGAUUAACAUCUAAAACAAUUUUUGUCAUUGGAGGAAGUGAAUUGUUAUAUACCUUGAAUUGUAGUUAUCCCACAAUAACCAAGAUCCAAUGUUUUCAAGUUUGGCAAAUCUACGAAUCCUACAUGCGCGGUAAAUUUUGUCAAUAACAGUUAUGUCACUCUCGUCUAAAUUGUUUAAUUAAAAUAAUAUGGUAAAUAUUGAAUGAAAAUUAACUGUGCACAUUGUUAUUUUUUUGUUUAUAUUGAUAUUUUAAUAUAUACCGUCACUUUUAGCAUUACCAAGAUUUGGAGUGUUUGAAUCAUAAUUUGUAAAUUAGUUAGCACUUUGAGUAAACUUGAAAAUGUGAAAAAAGAAAUUAAAAAAUGCAAAUAUAUUAUCAUCUUGAUUAACAUCUAAAACAAUUUUUAUCAUUGGAGGAAGUGAAUUGUUAUAUACCUUGAAUUGUAGUUAUCCCACAAGAACCAAGAUCCAAUGUUUUCAAGUUUGGCAAAUCUGCGAAUCCUACAUGUGCCGAUAAAAAUGAAAAUAUUACAUUUAAAGGCAUUGUAUGUGAUCCGCGUGUUUGAUGAACAUUAAUUCUACAUUUAAUUUGCUUCUUAUCUCAGAUUCAGUGGCCUACCUAGCAUUGUCAGAUUUUGAUUAUCGCUUAAAUCCAACACUUGUAGGUUUGUCAAAUUUGCUAAUCCUGUUAAAAAAAGGUAAAUUUGUAGUUAUGUCACUCUUGUCUAAAUUGUUUAAUUAAAAUAAUAUGAUAAAUAUUGAAUGAAAAUUAACUGAGCAAAUUGUUUAAUUAAAAAAAUUACCUUCUAAAGAACUGUGUAUAUAAUAAUUAGAACUCAAAUCCAACGCUUCCAAGUUUUUUAAUUUUGCUAAUCUAGCGCCAAGAAAGAAGAAAAAUCUUAGUAAUCAUCUUUGGGAAAAAAAUAAAGAAUUAAGAAAUUAGAUUAAAUAAUUGUAGUAAUAAAGCUUAUGAUUCAGAUCUAAUUAAAUUGAUCAUAUACUCAAAAAUGAUUUUAUUUNNNNNNNNNNNNNNNNNNNNNNNNNNNNNNNNNNNNNNNNNNNNNNNNNNNNNNNNNNNNNNNNNNNNNNNNAUUAAGAAACAAAUUUCAAAGUUAGAUUAAAUAAUUGUAGUAAUAAAGCUUAUGAUUAAGAUCUAAUUAAAUUGAUCAUAUACUCAAAAAUGAUUUUAUUUAUUUAUUUAUUUUUUUAAAUUUUACUAAGACAUUAGAAAGUAAAUUUUGCCGUGUACAUAUUGUAGUCAAGUUUAUCAAGUUUUCCAGUCAAAAAUUGGUUUUAAUUUGACAUUAUACAUAUGUAAAAAUUAAGAGCAUAAUAAUAUCACAAGGAAUUUGGGUAGUGACUUGUUGCCGUGUACCUUGAAUUGUAGUUAUUCCACAACUACCAAGAUCCAAUUUUUUCAGGUUUGUCAAAUUUGCCAAUCCUACACCAACGAAAAGCAAAAUAUUACUUUUAAAAUUAUUGUAGAAGGUUGUGAUUAGUGUGCUAACUUGGUAAUUAUCUCAGUAGCCUACCUAGCCUUGUUAAAGAGCCACUAGUUAUAUUGAAGUUCAAGCUUAGAUCCGACACUUGCAAGUAUCUCAAAUUUACUAAUCUUGCUCAGAAAACAUUAAUUUUGAUCAAGACAAUAUAAAUAUAUAUUUUAAUUAAGAAAUUAAUUAAGUUGCCUGACAUGUAUAUCUGCUGGCCUGAAACGUAUAUGUAUACCUUGCUUGGUUCUGGAACCUUCAAUCUUAUUGUAACUAAGAUUCAGAGUGGUAAGUGAAGUUAGUGUAUUCAAAUAUGGUAAUAUGCUGUCGUUGACGUAAUUAAAACCAAGAUUUAACAUCUUCAGCUGCUUCAAACUCCCAAAGCUAUCGUAAGCUGCAAAUGCAUAUGAAGUGUUAUUAUUAAUUAGUCACUGACAAAAUAUUUAUGGAUGCGAAAUAAAUGUAUACAUAUAUACGGACCUCUAUUCUCAUAGAUGCCUGUAAACCAAUUCUCGGAUAAGUCAAGGCUUUGCAAUUCUUCAAAAGGAUGAAACAAUGACAUAUUCAUAAACGAAGCCGAAGUUCUAUCAUAAUAUUUCAAUCUCCUUGUAUAAUUGAGUGAGAGUUGCAUCACGCGUCUUGUGGUGGCGUUGCACAUAACUCCCUCCCAAGCAUCACAACAAUCAGACGGCAUGCCAUCAUCCUCACCAACCCAUGAAGGAAGAAUUUUGUCAUCAUAGCCAACAUCACUGACUGAUAUGAAGAAGCUCUUGAUUGCCAACAGAGCAGUCCUCUCUGUUUCCAAGCAUGCUUUGUAUCCCUGCAUUUCAUUCAUCAAUACAAUAAUCCAAAUUAGUGACAUUAAUGAGAACUUAAUACAGGAAGUAGUUUCCAUUGCUGAGCAACUUUUCAUUUGGUUAAAAUUAAAUGUGCAAUGAGCAACUUUCCAUUGCAGAGCAAUUUAUACUAAAAGUUUAUCGCAGGUCUUGCAAUUUGAUUGGCUGAAGACUUUUUUAAGACUUUCCAAUACAUCGCCAUCUUUGAAGACUUGUAAGCAUUCCAUGUUUUGCAACAUUCGACCAAUUUUGUCAUCAUAUCCAACAUCACUGAUAAAGUGAUUGAAAUGACAAAACACAUAAAUGUUAUUUGAAGCUCAUGCAUUCGGAUAAGGAAAGUUUCCAUUGCUCCAGUCUACACUCUUCACUACUAUUACAAUCACUUGAAAUGACAAAAAUAGAAAUUUCGUAUGAACUUGGGACCGAUGUACGGGUGCAAUUUAAAUGACCCUAGCUAAUUUUGCAUAUAUUAUUGCAACUACGUGGAAAAUUAAAGUUGACUGACUUUCAAAUUAAGCCAACAAACAAGUGGCUAUCAACUCUUUUCCCUCUAUGAUUGUUUUUUUUUUUUUUUUUUAAAUUGAAUUGUAUGAUUGGGUUUGCAUUGAAUUAUCCAACAAUCUAUUCAAGCAUUGAUAUUUGAUAUUCUCAAAUAUUUAAUGGGUUUUGAAAAUUAUUUACUAGAUUUUUGAUAAAUUGAUUUUUAUUAUUUCAUGAUCAAUAAUUAAUCAAGUAAUUUUCUAUAUAUAUAUAUUUGGUAAUUUACUCAUAAAAAGUGUGGAUCACAUUGAAAUGUUAUUUUAUAUGAUGCAUGACAUACGGAGAGGUGCAGUUUAAAUGCGCAAAUAAUUUAUUAAUUAUAACAUGCAAUCAUUGAGUUAAAGCGCAAGCGUGAGUUUGGAUUUGAAAUAUUCAAAUAAUUUAUUUCAUUAUUGAUUCUUAAAUAACAUGCUUUGGAAUUAAUAGUUCGAUAGGAUGUUUGAUAUAUUAAAAUUUGUGAUAAUCAAUAAUCAACUAAUUUUCAUUCAUAUUUAAAGAUUUUAAUAAAUUACUCAUAAAAUUGUGGCGUAUAUUGAAAUGACAAUCAAUCUUGAUAUUGACUGACAAUCAAUUUUUAUAGUGAUUGGCACUUAAGACAAUCAGUUUUGGUCUCCGUAAUGACUAAUGAAGAAUUGUAAGCCUGAAAUUCCACAUGUUGCAAUGUUGGACCAAUGAGGGAAAUGCUUCAUUAACAUUACAUGGAAAAUAAAUGUUGACUGACUUUCAAAUUAGACCAACAUACAAGUAGUCGUCAAUUCUAUUUUUUCCAACAGUUGAUAAAGAUGGCUAGUUAAGAAAAAAAAAGUUGAUUGAGAUAAUUUAAAGAAUUUAAGCGUAAGUUUGGGUUUGAAAUUAUCAAAUAAUUUAUUCCAGCAUUGAUUCUUAAAUAAUGUACUUUGGAAUUAAUAACUCGAUAGGAUGUUUGACAUAUUGAAAUUUGUGAAAAUCAAUAAUCAAUUAUUUUUCAUACAUGUUUAGACAUUUUAAUAAAUUACUCAUAAAUUUGUGGUGUACACCGAAAUAAUAAGUUAUUAUAAAUUUGUGGUGUACUCUUGAGUCCCUUUGUAUCCUUGCAUUAAUUUGAAUCAAAGCUCGAAUUAAAAUCAAAGACCCAUAUUGAGAAUUUAUAUAAAUAACUUAAGAGUAUGAUUGGGUUUACAUUGACUUAUAUAUAUCAAACAAUAUAUUCAAGGGCUGAUAUUCUCAAAAAAAAGAAAAAAAAAAAGACAAUCAAUCUUUGCGUCAACUGAUAUUAUUGAUUGGUAAUAAAUCUUAGUAGUGAUUGACAAAGCUUGGGAAAAUCACUCUCGGUGAUUAAUAGUCUUCGUCCUCAUCUUUGUUUUGAUCGUUGUGAUAGAGGAUGAGUGGUGCGUAAGAGAGGGUUCAUCGCUUGCGGAAUUUUCGCGGCCAUUCAAGAAUCAGGAUGGUUGUUGUAGAAUUCCACGAGAAUUGGCCGUGCAAUUAGGGAAAGUUCAAUAUUAAUUUAUACUAAAAGUUUAUCAUAGGCCAAUCACGGUGACCACCAAAACCUAUGAAUGAUUAGUCCAUCGAAACCCAAUGUAUGCUCAAUUAAUAUUUCCUAUCAAGAUCAAAAUUUUCACUCUAUUGCUUCACCAAUCAUGCGCAUAAAAGCUCGAUUUAUACAAAACUUACGAAUUUAUGAAAAAAAAAGUCACAAUUAUUAUAAUUGGAAGUUUGAUUGAUUUUUAAAGAUUGAUUCAAUCAAUCUUAAUGUUACUGGACAAUCGAUCUUAAUAUUAAUUCAAAAUCAAUCUUUAUAGCAAUUGACACAGAUAAAGAUAAUUAGUUUUGGUCUCUAUAAUGAUUGACGAAGACUUGUAGGACCUGCACCAAUGAGGAAAAAUGCUUCAUUAAUACUCCAUGGAAAAUAAAUGGUGACUGACUUUCAUAUAAUCGAUUGACGUAUAAUUAUAAUUAUAUAAUCAAACACGCACACUACAAGGCGACCUUCGAUUGACGUAUUCUGUCAACUAACCCAUGGGACAUGGAGUGCUAAAACCAUAAUGUACGCCAGUAUGAAUAAUAUCAUCAAUCAAACCAAAAAAAAAAAAAAUUGAUGAAUAAUAUAGUUCCAAGCAGUGCUAAAACCAUAAUGUACGCCAAUAUGAGUUUAUCCAAAGUCACCGGCUACACCAAUAUCAUAGUGACAUAGGAAGCGAUGAGGAAAUUUACGAAAGAUUUAUUAAAUGAUCAGAGACUUUCUGCAAUUUCAUUGACUUAUUCUACGAUAAUUAUAAUCAAACACGCACACUGCAAGGCGACCUUCGAUUGACGUACUCUGUCAACUAACCCAGGGACAUGGAGGAUGUGUGUUGACGUUAACCAAUAGCCAAGUUUAUAAACACAAUCAAGCAAUCGUAUCAUCAAUCAGAGCCACAUUCGACGCAUGACUAGUAAAUAUCAUAAUUGAGUUUGAGGACCACAGCCGCACGGUGAAAGAAUUUGAAUGGAGGAAAAGCAAAGGAAAAUGAAAAGGAAAAGAGGGGAAUGCUAAAGAAAAAUAAGCUGAUUCAUCAGUAACUCCAUAUGACAUUUUUUUUUUAAAAUAAGCAUACCGUGGGGGGUUAGGCGGGACCCCUACCUGUCAUUUAUAAAAGAUAAUGAAAGAUACAAGGAGGGGGACAAAAACCAAAACCUCCAAUCAAGAGAAAAAAAUACAACAGAAAAAUAAAAGAUUAAGGCAUAGCCUAACAUGAGAAUCAUAAUAAAAUGACUAAUGAAGACGGUGAUAAUAUGUCUUACGAUACUUACGGCCGGUAAGUAAUUUAAAUCCCUUUUUCGAUUGACCAACAAUGCUAAAAUCGGGACUUAAGUCUAUUCUCUCAGAAUUCUCAGGAGCAGAUAAAAAGUGUUCGUUAUUCGCCAGGUGCUCGUCAGAACUAUCAUCAUUAUCAGUAUGAGAAUUGUAAUGCCUAAAAUCUGUGCUGGAUGCUCGAUGAAGAUGUGGAUUAUACUCACCAAUGCUCCGCAGGGGAGACAAGCUUUGAUCACGAGGUUCCUUAGAAUCAUGAGUUGUGUCAUCUUGGGCAAUCGGCUCCUGAACGGAUGUAGAAUUUGUAACGUUAGGCCGGUUCUCCGAAGGUUUAGUGAUCGGGGACCCCGCGUCUACAAUCUGCUUAGUGAUGGAAAGCUCAGGUCGAGGAGUAUCUGAGGGUUGUGGAGUAUCUGACGGUAGAACUUCUGACUUCUUACCAUCUUCUACUCUGGUCUGCCGAUUCCCACUGGGUCGCUGGGGACGAAGCCUCGGAUUGGCCACGUAACACGUCUCAAUGGUAUGGCCAAGGUGCUUGCAGGAAGCACAAUAGAGUGGGAUUUUCUCAAAAAUUACAUUUUGCCAAAAUCCAGAAUCUCCCACCCCGAUUCGUAUCCUUGGCAAAGGAGGUUGGGUAACAACAUACUCCACUAAUACCCUAGCUACAGAAGGGCGAGCUAAAGAGGCAGUAGCUUGGUCAAUUCGCAAUGGCUUGCUAAUAGCUGAUGCAAUAGAAAAUAAUGCUUCCUUACAGUGCAUGAAGUGGACAGGCAAGUAAGGAAAUGAGAUCCAUACUGGAACUAUAGGGGACUCCUCAGAGCACCGAAAAUCGGUGGUCCAUUUAAAAAUUCUCAUGGCACUCCCAUUAAUGUGCCAUGUCUGCCUAACCCAUAGGCGGGAAUAGUCAUCCUCAACGUCCAAUUGAAUUAACACAUGUCGAUUAUCUAGUAAAGACACCUUAAAAGUUCCCUUCAAUCUCAAAGAAGUAAAAAAUUUACGAAUUAAUUCCAUACUAGUCUAUUAUAAGAAAAUUUACCAACCAAUGUCAACUUGAAGGGAAUGGCCAUCGCUUCAAUUUCCGCAACGGAGAAUUGCACGUUAGGCUCUCCCCCGAAAGAAGUAACGGUCUUGAUUGGAACCAUCGAGCUAGUUGGGCCGAUCAUAAUAUCCAUAAACGAACUUUUAUUGGUUCUCUUUUGAUUCGAAUUGGGGACGGAAUUCAAAAUUGAGGCAUAAGAUGGUGCGGAUGUGGGCGGUGUAGCAUUUUGAGUCAACGGGGUAAAUUGGGGAUUAUUAGAAAUGAGUGUUGAGGGCAUUCGGGAGGGCUGGUUGUUGGGGUCAGAAAUGGAUUGGGCUUGGGAUUGAUUAGUGGGAAAUGCUAAUGGGACAGGGGGAAGGCUAGUGGGAAACACACAUGGGGGACACAAAUCAUGCGCGGCCGAAAGUGGUUCAUGUGCAUGUGGAGCAACAAGCUGCUGCACGCGUGAAGACUUUUGGGCUGGGAUGUUUGCUCAUGGCUGCUGCACGCGUGGAGACUUUUGGGCUGGGAUGUUUUCUGAUCUUGACUGGAUUCGGUGGUGUUUGCUUGCAUGGGGAGCUGACAAUCGCCGGUCAGCAGCUGCAGCUGGCUGUGAACACUGUUCCGAGUGCGUGUGUGUGAGACUUUUUGGCUCGUGGGGGUUGUUUGUGUAGGAUAUGGUUGUGGCUGACUGGAUUUAACCACGGUGGUUGCAUCUUGAAGAGGUUCUUGAUUAAAUUGGCCAUGAAGCACGGGCUGGUUUUGAGAAUGCAUAGGGGCUGUAACAGCUGGCUGAUCGUCUCCCGAGUGAUCAUGUAUGGCUUGUGUUGGCUGCGGACUAGAUGCUGGAAGCUGGUUUGUGUUAGCUUGUGAAGGCUUGGUUCGAUUUGAAGGUGAUGAUGGCUCGACGGUUGGAAGGUGGUCAUGGCUAGUUAAGGUUGGAGUUUGCUGUUGAAGGGAUGACGAUGGCGAUGGUGGUUGAUUGGCUGUGUUUACGGAAGUUGGUGGCUGUUGGGGUUGGAUGGCUGGCGAUUGGCUUUUAUAUUUUGAACGAGUUUUCCUUUGAGAUCUCCUAAGAAAAGGAAAUUCGUUUUUGGAAGUGAGGGGGAGAAUCGGUGGAGGCUGGCUGCCAUUACCAUCAGCCGGUAAGUUCAUGAUAGCCGGCUCGUGAAGGGAUGGUUGAUUUGCUGCAUCAUGGCAGCCUUCAUGAGACGUUUCUUCUUGUUCACUUACGACAACAGAGGUGGGUAAGGGCUGCCGAAAUUUCGAGAGGAUAGAGGCAGUGGAUGUCGGUGGUUGAUCAGCAUGAUGGUGGAUUGGAGAUGGAGGGUCUGCAUGGGAGUGGUUUGGAGAGAAAUGAUUUGGUUGUGUGGAUGGAUUGAGGUCAUUUUGCCGCUGGAGUGAUUUGAUUCGCGGUGGUGACAGUUGGACGUCAGGCGGUGGAUCAUUGGUGAAUUUUGGGGGUCGUCUAAAUGAUUUCUUAGGAGGGAUCAAACUCCUAAUAAUUCGUUCUUCGGCGGAGAGGGUGUUGACCGGUGAUGACUGGUUGCCAUCACCGGAGGCCGGAGAGGCCAUUAAGGCCGUUUAAGGCUUAGGGGGGGGGCUUGAUAGAUAGUCUUCAAACCAUUUGUUCCGGUCACUUAUUUUUCUAAACAAACCAAUUCACCCAGUUUCCCCUCCAUGACUACUUUUAGCCUCCGUGUGAUUCAAAAUAAUUAACACAGACGUCCUGCGUGUCACAUGUAACGAGCUAAUUCUGUUAAGGCCUUCACUCCAUAGUCUUAAGAUCUCAGUGAACAAUAAAUUCUUCAGAUUCAAAUGGCAAAUGAAUUGCACAACAAGGCAUAAACCCCGCUUGAAGGCAACCCGCUAUAAUUAAUACAUAAAAAGUUCAAUUGCUCAUAAAAGAAAGAUACAGUAAACUAGUGGUAUUGUAGUAUAAACAAUACUGGUUUUUCUAUCUUGGUGGUUUCUUGAUAGUGUUCAAAUAUCAGUCCUCGAAGAAAGAUAGAGGAAAGCUAAAGAAAAAUAAGCUAAUUCAUUAUUGACAUAAUGUGACAAUUGCACGCAACUCUUGGAUGUUUUUAGCCACCGAAAUUUUUAACAUUAAUGAUGAAUUACAAAUAUGUGAAUGAAAACUUAGAAACAAAUUUUUGCUGUGAAAGAAAGUAAAAGAGAGCAGAGAAACAAAAAACAGAGGAUUUCAUUCGUCAUUCAUAACUGAUUUUCCUAGUGCAAAUGCGCAAGGUUGAACAUUCAAAAUCCAUAAUUCUAAAUCAAAAUCACCAACAGACACCUGUACAUGAAAUAUUCAGGCCUUCACUCUGGCCUUAAGACCUCAUGUACGAGAAGUUCGUCAGAUUCAUAUAGCAAAUGAAUUGCACAAGAAGGCAUAAAAAUUAGUAUAUUUUUCAAGAACCGAGCUUGAAAGCAAUGAAAUAAAAAUUAAUACAUAAAAGUUCAAUUACACAUAAAAGAAGGAUAACGGUAAACCAUGGCCAGGCAAGAUCACGGAUGAAAUAUACAAAUUUCACAAGCCAAUAUAAACAACAAUCAGUGCAUGCAUCAAUGAAAGAAAACCGUGGCCACUGCCAAUACGAGUUCAACCAAAGGAUUCAUCUUAAUUGCAGAUUCAUCUUCGUCUUCUCCUCGAUUGGAUGUUAUUGCUAGAUUUUCCUCUGUUCUGGUGCAACUCUUAUUAAUUGUUGGACCACAACGACCCAGAUUAUAACUCUUUUCAUCAAACCUGCCAAAUUGUUUUUUGUCUGGGAUCAGACCAGACAAGUUCUUGUAUGACUCGUUAAAGUUGGAUAAAUAGUUGAUGAGUGAUCUGAAGAUCACCGAUCAGAAAAUUUUUCAUUUAUGUUUGUGUAAAUUAUUCAUAGUAUGGUCUACUAUGAAAUUACAAAAAUAAGCAUAGUAAAUUUGAAUAAAGGAAAGGAAAAUGAGAAGGAAAACAGAGGAAGGCUAAGGACAAAUAAGCUGAUUCAUCAGUAACUCAAGAUCACAACUUUUGGAUGUUUUUAGCCUCCGAAAUUUCAACAAAUAUUCAAGUGAUGUGAGGUUGGUCAAGGUAGAAGGAAAGUUUCCACUUAAUUGAAACUUUGAGCUUAGAUCCAACUCAAAAGGAUUCUUCAAAUUACAUAGUCCUGAACUUGAAAAUAAAAGAUCAAAAUUUUAUAGAAUGAAAACUAAUUAUAGCGAAUUCGAUCAAAAUCCAGUACAAGACUUAGAGAACAGACAAAAAUCAAAUUGCCUAAUUAUUUUGGUCAGCACAAAUAAUAAUAGAGUAAUGUGAACUUAUUUCUCAUAUAAUAUGAUGUUGAUUGCAAAAACGUUUCAAUAAUCUGGAAAAAGGGAAAAAAAAUAAAAUGCCCUCAGCACUUUUUGCUCAUCAUAGCCCGAAGUCCUUCUUGUUUAACAUUAUGAUUUUCUGAGGAAGAAUUUGUUCACUUGAUGUUGUUCAUUGGACAAUGGUUCUGUAACCUCUAAACCUAUUGGAUAAUGUAAAGAGAAAUUCAUAAUAUUUUAGUUGUCUUCUUAAAUAAUAAAUUGUCUCAAAAUACAAUUAAUUUGUCUUAAAUUUAAUUUAUUCCUCAGCAUUCAAAGAAAAACAAAAACAAAAAAAGAAAAAGAAAAACGACCUGGUCUUUAUAUGUAAUUUUGUCCAAGUACUUUGAUCAACAAAUCAUUAGGAAGGUGGUGUAUCAGUGAUGCAAAUAUUUAAUUAUCAUGUUUCAACAUAACAAUUCUGUGUAAAUUGUUCACUUUAUGUUUCUAGAGAACUGUUUAUAUUAUUAUUACUACUCAAAUUCAAUGCUUCCAAGUAUUUGAAUUUAAUUAGCUAAUCCUGUAUCAAGAAUUAAUUAAUGAACAUAAGAUAAAUGUCAUAUUAGUUAGAUUUAGAUUUUUUUUUUCCAGUUUUGAUGUAUAGAUAAAAAUAAUACUUCAAAAGCAUUGAAAUGUAAGAGCUAUUAAAAAAAUGCUUUUCAUUCAAAGCUAUAAGUAAUGAAAUGAAGAUAGAUAUCAUUGUUGAUUUAAAAAAAAUCAGAAAAAAAAAAAGAAAAGAGUGAAAGAAAAGAGCAGGUUAUGUUAGAAAAUAGUGAUAGAGUAUGUUAAGGACUAAAAUUUAUUAAAGAAAGCAGUGGUUCCAUUUGAAAUUUGAUCAAGUUAGAAUUAGUCAAUUAUGCAUCGAGAAUCAAAAGAAUGAAGAAAGGGAAUUCAAAUUAGACUUACAAAAUUAUAAUAAAGUGAUUAGUUAAGAUCCAAUUAAGCAGAUUUACUAAAAAAAAUAUUGAAAAAUAAAGGGCCAUAACAUUGCCAAAAGGACUAGGAAACUAAGUAGGAAGGGCUGAUUGUUGCGGAAUACCUUGAAGUGUAGGUUAUUCCACAACCACGAAGACCAAUUGCUUUCAAGUUUGUCAAAUAUGCCAAUCCUACAACAAUAUAAAGCAAAAUGUUACUAUAAAAUUAUUGUAGAAGAUUGGUAUUUUCAGUAGCUUACCUAGCCUUCUUAAAGCGCCACUUGUUAGAUUUUCAGGUUAGAUCCAACACUUGCAAGUUUCUCAAAUCUGCUAAUCCUACUCAGUAAACAUUAAUUUUGAUCAAAUCAAUAUCCUUGAUUGAAUAUAAAAUUUAUGAUUAAACCAAUAAAAUUUAUUCUACUUGAUUUUUGUACAAUUUUUUUUUCACUUGAUCAGCUGUUUUAUUCCCUUAAAAUAAAUGAAUUAAAAAAAUGUUAAUUGUUUUACGAGUUAAUAAUUUUAUAUUUAUUUAUUUAUUUAUUUUACCUUCUAUUUAUUAGUCUUUUGAAUAAUUUAUAAGAUUUAACAAUUGUAUUAGAUGUAAUAUUUUUAAAAAAAAAACUAUUAGCAUUUAUUAUUUAAUAAAUCUAUUUAGAUAUUUUUAAAAUUUGUUAUUGAUGAUAGAGUUUGGGUCAAUGGUCAACAAUUAAUAGUUACUAUGAUUUUUUUUUCCCUCCCUUUCUAAUUGAUAGAUUUCAUGUGUUCCGAAAACGAAGUUUAAGGAAAAAGAAAAGGAAAAGGAAAAGGAAAAAAAAAUGGCUGUGAGGCCACUUUCCCUGGGUCUUGGUUGCAAUGCGCGCAUGUACACAGGCUGAAGCCAGCAAGAUGGUAUCAUAAGUUAACAAUGAGAACCUUACUCUGAGAACAAGGUAUAAUUUGCUCACAUCAGUUAAAACAUAAGUUAGGUUGUGAUUUAUUGAUUGCACAUUCACCACAGGCACGUAUUGGGAGGAUAUUUAAGCCGAUCAUCAUCUCAGGUAAUCUUUCUUAGGAAUUGGAGAAAUGAAGCUAAAAGAGCACCAAUAAUUUCAAACAUAUAUACCUUGCUUGAUUCUGGAACCUUCAAUGUUAUUGGAACGAAGAUUCAGAGUGGUAAGUGAAGUUAGUGUAUGUUGAGUACAUAAAAGCACCAGGUCGGCCAUACUACUAUUUCCGCCCCAGCAAGGAUCACCUCAGCCAAAUGGUACGAGCAGAACCGGGGGCAACACGAGCCGAGCAGAGACGAAUACUGACCAGAGGCAUAUACCGAGCCGAUACCUGUCCCCCAAGAGGCGGGAACACGAUCUCACAAGAUCGCGGCAGUUGCGCUUUCCCAGAACCGUUGCAGGAGACGCGAGAUCCCACGUUUGCCCAUAAUGCAGCAGUUAGAGUCCCAUGAGGGGCUGCCACGACCCGAAAAAGGUGGGACGAAGGGCAAAAUGGAAACAUGGGGACAGUGGCUAUAAAAGAAGAAGAAAUCGACAAAGAAGGAGACAGAAAAAUUGAGGGAGGGAAAACGCUGCCAAAUUUCAACCAGGCCAUUUUCUUACAAAUCUCUAACAAACUUCUUGAAUCCAAAUUACAUUGUUUUCCCGUGAACACCUUGUGCUAACUUAAGCAUCGGAGGGUUUACGCCGGCAAAACCACCAGAAUCUGGUCGGUCCAAGGGCGAGCAGAUUUCAGCAUCAACAUUUUGGCGCCGUCUGUGGGGAGCUGGAUAAAAAGCUACCACCGAAUUAGUAGUUACCGGAGAAACAGCGAACGAUUAGACAUGGAUGUGCCAAGGAAGGACGCUUUGAGGGAGGAUAACGAAUCGGGGGAGACAAUCACCCUUCGGGAAAUUGCAAAUGAAGCCCGAGAGAGGGUGAUGUAAGAUCGGUUGGAACGAAUGGAGAAGCAAAUGGAGACUCUCGCUACCAUACUGAAUGAGCUGAGAGAUGAGCGGAGAAGGGAUUUCGAAAUCCCCGUGGGGAGAGAUGAUGUUGGAGCAGAACUCAACCUCCGGAGGUGUAGAAUCGAGGAAAUCCCUCCGCCGGCGGACCAACCUUAUGGGGUGCAUCCCCACAGAAGCACUGGUCGGGUUCCUGGAGAACAAGUAGUUGAAGGGAGGAACCAACCUCGCCCCAGGCUAGUACCGGAAGCUGAUGGCCGAGGGGCCAGUGCUGAUGAAGGAGAGUUAAGACAGCGGUUGCAGAAUGUCGAGCAGGAGCGAGAUCAGAUAGCUGCACGUGAUCCUGACCGUGCUGUAGAAUUGGAGGGAGAGGUGCGCAGAUUAGCCAGGAGUUGGCCGAGCAGUUCCGAGGGGCAGUGGCCCCAGAGGACGACAUGAUGGAACUGAUGGGGAUGAAACAGGAGGAGCAUGAAUCCCUUCGAGGAUUUGUAAAACGAUAUCACCGAGCCGUGCUGGAUCUGGGAGCUUUUAAUCACCCGCAGGCGUUGAGGGGAUUAAAAGAAGGUGUAAGAAUCGGUUGACUGUGGUAUAACUUAAGAAGCCCCCUUGUACAGAAUUACUCGUCGGGGUAUGAGCAGGCGAGGCGAGAUAUAGAAAUCGAAGAGGAGAAAUCGGCAAGAAUAAAAAGUGAACAGCUGGACGAGCUGAGGUGAAAGGAACGGAGAGCCCCGACAGGGAGCGGGUCGGGAAAGCGAACUGGAGAAUCUUCAGGGAUGGGCGGAAUAUCAGCUCGGUCCCGCCCUUACCCCAUAGCUCCGAGAGCACAACAGUUCCAACAUAGCCGGGCUCAACCUCCGCGCCCCCUGAUCCCAGAGCGGCAGCAAGAUUUCCGGCAGAUGGCUGCCCACCCCUAUCACAACACUCCCAGAGCAUUACAUGCAACCAAUUCCAGGGCUAGACGACCAGAUCAGUUAGAGACUGUGCCAGCCCGAGGUGACAUUCACGAUAGCCGAGCAGUUCAGCUGGUAGACCAGAGCUUGGCAUAUAGACAGUACACUCCAUUAAAGAUCUCCCUGGAGGAAUUGUAUGAGAGGAUCGAGGGACGAGGCCUGCUGUAUCCUCCAGCCCCAAUAACAAAACCGACUUACCGACGGGAUAAGAGCUGAUUCUGCAAAUUCCACGACACUCACGGUCACACUAUAAGCCAGUGUCGUGACCUGAAGAUUCAGGUGGAGGAUUUAGUGAGGAACCGAUACUUGGACGAGUAUGUAGAUGGAAUGUCCCCUGUCGUGGAAUCACAGUACACACGGGAUGAAGGAGUUGAGAGGGAUCUGGAACGUGAACAGCCGACCAUCCGUGUGAUAGCAGGAGGUCCAACAUUGGCCGGGGAUUCGAACAGAGCACGGAAGAACUAUGGGAGAUACGCCAUGACUGGCAAAGAGGUGCUUCUGAAUUUGCCAGCAGCCAAGAAGGCAAGAGUACGACAAGUUCCCAUUAUGUGGACGGAGGAUGACGAAGAGGGCAUUUUGUACCCUCAUGAGGAUGCACUGGUGAUUAAAGCAUUAGUGGCUAGCACAGAGUUGAGGCGAAUACUGGUGGACACGGGCAGCUCAGUCGAUAUUCUGUUUAAAUCGGCCCUAGAUGAUAUGGGGAUUUCAGACUUAAAGCUGGAGCGGACGAAUACAUCCUUGAAGGGAUUUGGAGGGGGACGAUUAACUCCCAUGGGGGUCAUUGAACUCCCGAUUACUGUGGGGACAAAGCCGUUUGAAAGAACGAUGAUGCUGGACUUUGUCGUAGUAGAGGAAAGAAGUCCUUACCAGAUGAUACUGGGGAGACCGUUCAUGAGGAUAAGCCAAUGCGUAAUGUCCACGCAUUAUCUGGCGCUGAAGUAUAGAAUAAAUGGAGUUGUGGGUGUAGUAAAAGGCGACCAGAGAAUGGCGAGGAGCUGCUAUGCUACAGCGGCCAAGGAAACGCUGCAGGUUACCUCUCUAGAUAGCCGAGGGGAUUCAAAAAAUAGUCGCCAGGAACCUGUUGAGAAGCUGGAGGAGGUUAUUGUAAGCAGGAGUGACCCUAGCAGGGUCACACGUUAUUACAACAAGAACGUACGUGUGAGGCAGUUCCGAGCAGGAGAUUGGGUGCUCAGGAAGGUGAACCAAAAUACCAAGGAUCCUAACCAUGGAGCUCUUAGUCCGAAAUGGGAAGGCCCGUACAGGGUGAUACGAGCAACUGGUCCGGGAGCUUAUAAGUUAGCGUACCGAGAUGGACGAGACGUGAAGAGGUCAUGGAACGCCGAGCAUUUGAAGAAGUAUUUCCAGUAAGCAAAAUACUCUACUAAAUCUUCAAUUUGAUAAGUUAUAUUGGUCAAAUGCAUGGUGGCUUGGUGCACAUGCAUAUGUUUUGUACUUUUGUAACGCAUUCAAAUUUCAAUAAAGAGGAAUUCAGCAUGAAAUCCCCCGGCUAAUAAGCCCAUCAAAAAUCUGCUAAGGCAAGUAAAUGCCUACUUCUGCUCGGUCAACGAAAGACCAGCAACUAAAUUUACGAAGAUUUUACCAAGGCAAGUAAGUGCCUACUUCUGCUCGGUCCACGGAGGACCAGCAGCUAAAUUGACGAAGAUUUUACCAAGGCAAGUAAGUGCCUACUUCUGCUAGGUCCACGGAGGACCAGCAGCUAAAUUUACGAAGAUUUUACCAAGGCAAGUAAGUGCCUACUUCUGCUAGGUCUGCCUACUUCUGCUCGGUCAACGAAAGACCAGCAACUAAAUUUACGAAGAUUUUACCAAGGCAAGUAAGUGCCUGCAUCUGCUAGGUCAACGAAGACCAGCAGCUAAUUUAUCAAAUGCUCCUAAGGCGAGAAAGUGCCUGCUUCUGCUCGGUCAACGAAGACCAGCAGCUAAUUUCUCGAAAGUUUCGCUAAGGCAAGUAAGUGCCUGCAUCUGCUCGGUCAACAAAGACCAGCAGCUAAUCCUACGAAAAUCCUACUAAGGCAAGUAAGUGCCUAGUCCGGCUCGGUCAAGGAAGACCAGCAACCAGUUUUGUCUGCUCGGUCAACGCAAGACCAGCAGCUAACUCUACAAGAAAUCUACUAAAGCAAAUGCCUACUUCGGCUCGGUCAACGAAGGACCAGCAGUUAAUCCUACGAAAGGCAAAACUAAGAUACAAUCUAUGAGCAAAAACCGGACAAGAAAGCAAAUAAAGAGCAUUUAAAAAUCUUUUUAUAAAUGUUCAAUUGUUUACAAAACAAAUGCAAAUCUAGAGUCUAUACAAAAAUAGGCUCAAAGCUUAGCAGAGUCAACGGCUCCAGCGGCUGAAGGAUCAGCGAGCCCGGGAAGUGAGGGAUCAGCAACAUCAGGAGGUGGGAGAUCAGCAAUACCGGGAGGAGGAGGCAUGGACCCUUGACCCAUUUCGAAAGUGCGUCCCCCAGCAUCCCCCUCUUCCACCCCACCCGAAGGAACCUCCACCCGAUCCUGCUCACCCUGCUCCUUAUCUCCCUGGCCGGCCCCAGCCAUAUAUCUCUCCACCCCAGCCUCCAGCUUGCUCAUGUCGAGCUCGGGGUAUUCUUCCGUGAGCACAGACAUGAUGCACUUAUAGCUGAAAGCAACCCCGGAGUCAUACUUGGCAUCCAGCCGAUCAUCCACAUCAGCGGAUUUGCCUUUCUCUUCAGCCAGUUGGUCACUCAGGGAUUUGAUCUCUCCCUCAAGGGCGGUCCUCAGAGUAUCUCUCUCACUUUGAGUAGCCUGAAGAUCGGACUUCAGAUCACCCAACUCGCCCUCAAGCUUGGAGGAAGUGGACUCAGCAACAGCAACUUUCUCCUCAAGCUCCGUAAGCUGCUUGUUCAGCUCGGCCAUUUUUUCCUUGGACCGAUCAGCAGAUUCGGCUUUCUUUUUCAACUCCUGGUUAUCAGCUUGAAGCUUCUUCUCAUGACGCGCGGACCUGGUCUUGUAGCACGAGACCAUUGUGGCCAGCCUGAAGGAGACUCUCUGAACAGAAGCAGCCAACUCGGAGAGGCUCAUGCUCUCGAUCUCCUUCACCAUCUUGGGCCCAACCGACUUUUUAUAAUCCUUCUGAUAUGGGCUCAGGUAGUCACCUUGAUCCCGAGAUGGAAGAGGAGAAGAUCGGUCCCCAGACUGCAAGCUGACCUCAGGACUCUUGUCGGAGGUUUUCUCCCCAACACUCUUACGAGGUGGAGGAGGGGGCAGAGCAGGAACAGGCGCCUUGGAAGGACCAACGCUAGGUUUCUUCGGAGGAGGAAGAGGGUUGCUGGAGCUACUCGGGGCCCGACCACGCUUCCUGCUCAUCGCACUGAGGAUCUUGUUAUCCAUUCCAGCGGCUAUGUCCACUAGCCCCGAGCCGACCAGGUUUGUUGGAGACAGGAGGUCUUGGCAGGUUUGCUGGACACCACUUUCCCCCAGCAAAGAAGAAUUUGUUCUUCCAAUUUUUGCACGAGGAGGGGAAACCGGUGAUUGGCUUUCUCUUCGCAGAACUGGACAUGAAGUAGUACCAGCCCGCCUCCCUUGGGCUGCUCCGCAGCUGAUACAGAUGUUUCACUUCAACAAGGGAAGGCUCCUCCGACCCGCACCUCUCCCACAACACAAACAUUACCAAGAGAACCCUCCACCCGUUCGGGUGUAGCUGACCUGGGGCCAGGUGCAUACCUCCUAAUAUCUUGGCAAAAUAACGUUGCAGGGGCAGCCGAGCUCCUAGUUUAGGCUAUGUAAUCAAUAGGGUAGGAAUCAGCCUCCACCCUAUGGCCAAGAUUCCUUUUCUUAGCAGGUCCACUCGGUCCAGAACUGCUCCCCUCACCAUCACCAACUCCUUCAGGGAUCCCAACCCCACCAAAGCUGUGGUUCUCACCAGAGCCCGAAGCAGUUCCACCUCUAUUCCCUACAAGCUCUGGUUCGGGGGAGGGAGAGACAACCAAGGGGCGUGGGUACUCAAGGGUACCCCUACCAUGGGAAGGACCUACACUACUGGAGGGACCUAAGAAAUCAGUGGGUAUUGACACAUUGAGGCCUGAAUCCCCUGAUUCUUCAUCACCCUCAUCAACAAUUAACUUUCUCUUUCGGUUUGACAUAUCGGAAUCUCAAAAAGAAAACAAAGAAAACUCGAAUAUACGGAUACACAAGGGGGCAACACGGAACCCAAUCAACAACAACCAGAGAAGAGAUUAAAAGCAGUACCUGAAAUGAACUGGCCUUGAUAGCGCUGCCGUGACCGAGAAAAAACCAGCAAGUAGAAGCCUCGGACGCAGGAAGUAUGAGUAAAGUGCAGAAAAUGGGGUAGGUUAACGACGGAGAGACGAGUAACAAAACGAUGACGAUGUGAGUCUAGGGAUUUGAAACGAAAAGGGGGAAAUGAAAGCAUUUAAGUGAUGGAGACGCACCGUACAUCGAGGACAGAUAGCCCGUCGUUUUAAAUUUCAAAUAUGAAGAGUCUGGAGAUGCCACAUCACUAACCGUUACAAGGGGCCAGGAUAGAUGUAAGCCCAGAUAUGCAAUGGACAUGCUCAUUUAGGCCCAUACUCAGGUCGAAAUCUCCCCAGAAGAAAAAUGGUACCUCAGAUCCGUCUCAGUAAACAGAAGACCAGAUGAGAGGCUCCCCGGGUUGGUGAGUUUUGACAAUCAGUUUCUACUCUUCACUCGUUUCACUCGCCAGACCAGAAACUGGGGGACUGGUGUUGAGUACAUAAAAGCACCAGGUCGGCCAUACUACUAUUUCCGCCCCAGCAAGGAUCACCUCAGCCAAAUGGUACGAGCAGAACCGGGGGCAACACGAGCCGAGCAGAGACGAAUACUGACCAGAGGCAUAUACCGAGCCGAUACCUGUCCCCCAAGAGGCGGGAACACGAUCUCACAAGAUCGCGGCAGUUGCGCUUUCCCAGAACCGUUGCAGGAGACGCGAGAUCCCACGUUUGCCCAUAAUGCAGCAGUUAGAGUCCCAUGAGGGGCUGCCACGACCCGAAAAAGGUGGGACGAAGGGCAAAACGGAAACAUGGGGACAGUGGCUAUAAAAGAAGAAGAAAUCGACAAAGAAGGGGACAGAAAAAUUGAGGGAGGGAAAACGCUGCCAAAUUUCAACCAGGCCAUUUUCUUACAAAUCUCUAACAAACUUCUUGAAUCCAAAUUACAUUGUUUUCCCGUGAACACCUUGUGCUAACUUAAGCAUCGGAGGGUUUACGCCGGCAAAACCACCGGCGUCUCUGAUCCGUUUUUGCUGAACGCAGGUCUGGUGAGAGAGGGAAGGGCGAUUCCAACCCCAGUGGUUCGAGUGACAGUUGAUAACACAAACGUUGGUGAUAGAAUCUGGUCGGUCCAAGGGCGAGCAGAUUUCAGCAUCAACAGUGUAUUCAAAUAUGGUAAUAUGCUGUCGUUGAGGAAAUUACCACCAAGAUUUAAGAUCUUCAGAUGUCUCAAACUCCCAAAGCUGUCGUAAGCUUCAAAUGCAUAUGAAUUACUAUCAUUAAUUAGUCACUGACAAAAUAAUUAUGAAUGAGUAAUAUAUACAUAUGCUUGUACCUUUAUUCUCAUAGAAGUCAAGGCACUGCAAUUCUUCGAAAGGGUGAAACAAUGACAUAUUCAGAAGAGAAACUUCAUAAGAAUAAAAGAGUUAUAAUCAGAGUAGUUGAUUUUUUUUUUCUGAUUGAGUGAGAGUUGCGUCACCCGUCGGGUGGUGGCGUUGCACUUAACUCUCUCCCAAUCGUUACAACAAUCAGACGACAUUCCAUCAUCAUCAAAUCAUGAAGAAAGAACUUCGUCAUCAUAUCCAACAUCACUGGCUGAUGCGAAGAAGCUCUUGAUUUCCAACAGAGCAAUCCUCUCUGUUUCCAAGCAUGCUUUGUAUCCAUGUAACUGAAUCAAAGCUAUGCCAAUCCACAAUGACAACUUCAUCAAAAGCAUUUUCAUUAUUAAUAGUAACUGCAAGAGAAACACUCACAAGAUUUACCUGUCAAUUGUUGCUCUCUUGAAUUUUUUCUGGUUCUCUAGCAAAUAUAUGACUUAUAUAUACAAUGGAAAUUUUGUGCAGAAUGAAAAUUUUGCGCAUUUUCACGUGCCCUGUCAAUGAGAAAACAUGCAUUGAUUGAAAAAAGUAAGUGAGAGAAUAUUACCUGUUGAUACAUGUUAUCUACUUGUGAAAUAAUUGAAGAUGCAAAAUGGUUGAUUUCACGGGCCUGGCCUUUGGCAAAGUGAAAUGUUAGCCACACACUUUUACCAGUCCAGUGUCAACAUUUGUAGCAUAAGGAAAUUGCGGCAUCUCAGCUGGAUUUUGAGGGUCGCUAUUUCGUAUAUCAGUCCCAUUAUUUGUUAGUGGGGACUCACACUCUGUCCUAUAAUGGGCUCACAAAUAUUUAACAUAAUUUUGAUAAUUACUUAAACCGCGUGUCCUUGAUAAUUAAAGAAAAAGAGAAGUGAAUGCAGUAAAAGAUACUGAUGGCCGUAAUUAUGCAAAUAAAUACAAGACUUUACAGUAGAUUAGACCACCAAUUGUGCUUUUUCGUCCAAUAAUAAUGCAUCUGCUUUAGCACGAUACGAGUGAACUUAGGCUUAUCUUUCUUUCGCAAUGUAAAUUCUUGCCAAAAAAUACAUGUUAUCUACUGGUGAAUUAGUUUGAUAAAAUAAAGGCUUAAAGUUUAGUUGAGUAAAAUGUUGGCGUAAAGAAAUUAGCUACUGGAAAAUCACCAAAUGCUUGUUAAGGUAAUAUACAAUUGCAAUUGAACAUCAAGUGAUGGAAACAUCAAAAACCCCAUAAAAAAAUUAAACAAAACCAGUUGCAAUGCAAAUAAACAAGUUUUCAGUUAAGAUGGCAGAACUAAUUCCUUCACAAUCAAGUGUGGUUUCUCAAUUUGUUCUAUUUGCCCAAAAAGACAUGGUCAAGUAUCUGAAAGCAUUUUUAUUUAGUUGACUAUUCGAGUUUGAAUUUGGAAUAAGAGGUUAAAAAAUAAGUUUUGUCUUUUCUCACCCCUUUUACCUUUAGAAAAAAAAUUUAAUUUUUGGUCAAGCUGACUUAAGUGCAUCAUGUGCAAAUCACGUGACAUCCUGAGCUACCAUGUAAUUUGGCUUUAUAAGUGUUUUCUGUUUCUGAAAACAAAAAAUAAUAAAAUGGAAAUGCCUUUAGCUUUUGGCUAGACAUUUUCAGAAACGUUUUUCGUGAACAGAAAAAGUUUUUGUAAAGAGGCAUUGAGCGGUCAGGCGCUUGUCGUGGCCUGCGGCCUGCAGUCCUCAACAAUCCUCAUCUGGCCUCUUUAUAAUCCACUUUUAAUAAAAUAUAGAUAAAAAUAGAAAUAUUACUGAUUUCUAGCACAUCAUUCAAAUUAGUUGCUAUUGUAUAUCUAGCUAGUUUUGAACAAAGUAAGUGAGAAUAUUACAUACAUCUGCUUUAGCAAGAUACGAGUGAAUUAAAACAUUUGACCAGAUGAAAGAGAGAAAAGAAUGUUGAAAUAUUGACUUGAAUAUUGUGGUAAAAUGAGUUUGACUUUAGUACCGACCAAAGAAAUAACUGAAGAUGCAAAUUAAUUGGUUAGUUUGAGGUGCAUGGCUAUUGGCAAAGUGAAAUGUUAGCUUUACACUUCACUUGUGAAUGUACAACAACAUUUGCUGCAUAAGGAAAUUGCGGCGUCUCAGCCGGAUUAUGAGAGUUGUUUUCAAAUCCCAUUUCUCUUCUUCGUAUUUGUUCAUUGCCACAACAUUUGAUGCAAAAUUUGAUGACUACUCAAACGCGUUUCCGCAAUAACUAACGAAAGAAAAAGCGAACGAAUAAGCAAGAGAUACUGAUGACAGUAAUCAUGUAAAUGAAUACAAGGCUUUACAAUAUGCUUUCUUUCACAUGUAAUCUGCUGGUGAAAUAAUUUUUAUAAAACAGAGGCUUAAAGUUAAAGCUGAUUAAAAUAUUGGCGUCGAGAACGCUACAUGGAAAAUUCAACCGUGAGCUGCAGUCUGCAGUCCCCAACAAUCCGGGAAAAGGUUGAGGAGGCGCGCCCCUGCACAUUAAUUUGGCAGGUCUGAUGGGAUUUAUAAAUUAAAAUAAUGUAAUUUUAUAUAUUUUUUAAAUGAAAAAUUCAUUGAUGCCGCUGUGCGAUCCAUUGGAUCCUCGCGUGUUGGCUCCACAAGAGUUUCUCCCUAACAAUCUCCAUCAAAGCUCUUUAUAAUCCAUUUUUGAUAAAAGGAUACAUAUAUUUAUUCAAAUAUUAGUAAAAAUAGAUACAAUGCUGAUUUUUAAAUUAUACUUAAAUUAUACUUAAUGAACAUUUAGACCGACCUGUAAAUCUAUGAAUUCAAACUUCCACAACACCAUCAAUUAUUUUUAGCCUGCAUGUUACAUAUAUUUAUUCAAUUAUUUUUAGCCUGCAUGUUUGAUUGUGCUUCUGUUCUAUAGCUUCGUUAUGUUCAUUGAUAUUUUGUUGUUGUGCAGUAGUACCCAGUGUUCUUGAUAUCGCAAUCAUCACCCCAUAUGAAUCACAAGUUGUUCUCAAGGUAUACAUUUAUACUUAUCAUUAAUACUUUUUUGUUUUGCCCUCACCAGCUAUGAUUAGCAUAUUAUUUUUUAAAACUUUAUAAAUAUAAAUGAAUUAUUAAUUAAUCAUCUUUUUUUUUUAAUUGAAAUUUGCUCAAAGGGCAUCUCCACUGACAAGAUACUUGAUGUGAAAAAAUUGUUGGCUUCCAAUGUAGAAACUUGCCACCUCACAAAUUAUUCUCUCUCUCACGAGGUAUAUAUAUUUUAUUAUCUCUCCCCUUUUUUUUUUAAAUUAUAUAGAUUAUGAAAUUUCAUUUUAAAUUAAUGAAAAUAAGUAAAAUGGCUAACUUAGGUUUUGUUGAAGGCUGUAAAUGGUAGAUCGGAUGUCGAUAAGGGAUGGAGCCGCUGCCGACGAGGGCUGAUGUUGCCACCGAUGAUGGGAGUUUCUUCGGUUUGGGAGAGAUGGGUGAAAGAGAGUGUUGGGGGAGAAAUGAGAGAGAGGGGUAUUUUGGUCUCAAAGGUUCUUUUAUGGCUAUUGUUGAUAGAAAUUUGUUUGGGGGGUUAAGAUGGAAAAAAUCAAAACUUUUAUGGUUAUUGGUGUAAAUUUCCCUAAUUUUCAACCAACCGUAAAUUUUAAUCUAUUAAAAAAAUUAGUUGGCAGACAUGUAAACAGAGCAAGAAGGUUUACAGAAGUGUAUUAUUUUAGAAUUAGUAACUUUUUCAUGAAUAAUUAAUAUGAUUAGAGUUUAACAAAAUUAUAUGUAAAGGCUUGUUUAAAGAGUGAAAAUUUUAUUUUUUUCUCAUUUUUUAGUGCUUAUAAUUAAAAUUUAAUCUAGAAGUAUUUUAAUUAUAAAAAAAUUAUUUUCAAAAAUAAGUUUGACGAAUAGUUUAGUGCUAAAAUAAUAAAAGAAAAUAAUAGUUUAGUGCUAUAAUUAUUUUCUACUUAUAAUUAAGUUAAUAUUUAAUAGAAAGAACUAAAAUAAUAAAAGAAAAAAGAAUUUGCCCGGCAAUUCCUUGUUAUUUACAUUUUUGGCACUGUCCUUCGCAGAGGAAUACACCGAGGAAUCUCAGGCCGUGGCACACGUGCGGCAGCUUCUCGACAUCGUCGUGUGCACCACAUGGUUCUCCAAGUCCAGAAACUCCCGAUUGCCGCCACCGUCAGAGUCAUGUGCCAAAAAGAACGGCAGUAGGCCCCACCCGCCUUCACCAAACUCUGCCGCUCUGUCUGAUGGAGCAGCAACAGCAGCAGCAGAUAACCGAAGCGGGCCCCGCGCCACGUCAUCGCCAGUUUCAUCGGCGGUUUCUCCGAGUCUGGACAUGGCGACCAUUCACCCGACGCCGAAACUCUCCGAGUUUUAUGACUUCUUCUCUUUCUCUCACCUCACUCCCCCCAUCUUAAGUAAGCCUAAUUUUCAUUUAUUUAUUUGUCUUCGUUUCUUACAUGGUUGAUCAAAAAAAAAAAAAAAAAAAGAAAGAGGAAAAUGAUAUAAAUAUAUGUGAUUUAUUUGAAUAUGAAAUUUGUUUAUUGAUUUUAAUUUUUAAUAAUUUUGAUUUUGAAGAUUUGAGAAAAUGUGAACGCAAAGAAGGAGAGAAGCGCGACGGUGAUUAUUUUGAAAUUCAGGUACCAUUUAAUAUAAAGUUCUGAUUAUUGUUGUUUGUUGUUUGGGUCGAUCAAAAAAAAAAAAAAAAAAGAGGAAAUGAUAUAAAUAUAUGUGAUUUAUUUGAAUAUGAAAUUUGUUUAUUGAUUUUAAUUUUUAAUAAUUUUGAUUUUGAAGAUUUGAGAAAAUGUGAACGCAAAGGAGAGAAGCGCGACGGUGAUUAUUUUGAAAUUCAGGUACCAUUUAAUAUAAAGUUCUGAUUAUUGUUGUUUGUUGUUUAUGGACUAAUUAAUUGUAGAGUUAUUCAACUUGUUAUUUUUGCUGAUGAAUUGGCCAAUGAGUGUUAAAGAUUUAAUAAUCAUUGUCCGCCAAUUAAUAAGAAUGCAUGAAUUAUUUUCAUGUCUUCGUAAGUAAUGUGAGUAUUUGAAAGCGUGGGAAACUGUAUUUUGUGCUCACAGAUAAAAAUCUGCAAUGGAAAGCUUAUACAAGUAGUUGCAUCAGUAACAGGGUUCUAUACUUUGGAGCCAAUUGCGCCCGGUACACCUCCAUACUUCAAAAAUUAUCUCAAUACCCUAAAAUCAGUUUUUGCCGAAAUUUUCAUUGAUACCCUUUAAAAACGGAUAGGAAAUUACUAAGCUAUCCUCAUUUUAAAACAUUUCAACUCAACGGACGGCACUUCUCCCUUCUCUACUGAAGCAAACAAACACUCAUCUGCUGCAAUUCCCUCCAUUAUCAAACUCAAACAAACAAACACUGCAAUUCCCUCACCGGCAUCACCUCUGCAAUUCCCUCACCGGCAUCACCUCUACAGAAACAAAUAUUCAUUCUCCAUACAUGGUAAAUCGAACUUCAACACGAGUAAACUAAGCUUGAGAAGGGGAAGCUGCCACAACUGAGAAAGAGAAGCCUAGUUCGUCGCUACAUAAUCGCCGGCGAGAGCGGAUCCUUUACUGUAAAAUAGUCAUAAUUUAACUAGUUGAGGUAAGUAAUUCUCUAUAAAUAGUUUUCUUGUUGAUAUUCAGGGGAAAAAACAACAAAAAGUUAGGGUUUAUAUAGAAAAAAUAGAUUAAUUAGUUGCGGGUCUCUCAUUACAUGUUCAAAAACAAAUUUUUAGUUGUUUUACUACAUGCAAAUUGUGAAAAAUUGAUGGAUUGUGCCGAUUAUAAUUUUGUCAUGUAACACACAAUUUGGUCGUGUAAGGUUAUGUAGGAUUCAAGGUUGUGUAUUACACGACCUUCAUGUAUUGCACUUACACGACCUUCAUGUAUUACACGACCUCAAAAUUACACGACUUUUUUCACUGUUGUUAAUUCAUUAUAAUAACUUAGUUGUUUAAAGACUUAAUUUUUGCUAAGAAUUUAUAUUUGUUGCUAUGCAGAAAAUGUCAACGAAAAGUAUUCAGGAAAAAAUGAAAUGUGGCAAACCGAAAGCUGAAAAUUACUAAUUUGUCAUCGUUAGAACCAAUAAGAAUAAUGUGAAGGUUCAUUUUGUUAUUAUUUUUAACUAAGUAUGUUAUUAUUUUUAACUACGUACAAAUUGUGUAAAGUUAUUAAUAUUUGCUGCUGUGCAGAUUCUGACAACAUUUGAUGAUAACCCGAGUAUUGCCACACUUGCGACUGUGUUUUCAACUAGCCUUUGAUUUAAGAGUUGUUUCUAAUUGAUUUCAUGGAUUUAUUAUAUGCAGGCAUUCCUCAUGUAUGCAUGUAUGCUUCGGCAGAGGAAGAAAGCAGUUUGAAGAUAAAAAAAAAAAAAAAACUUUUUAAAUGGUUGUAAUAUGUUUAAUUACGAUAUCCAUUAGUGUAUCAUAUCCAAAUAUUGACAUUGUAAACUGAUAACUUUGUUUAUUUAUAAUAAUUAAUCUCAUCAUUUCUCAAAUUGUCGAAUAUGCAAUUUUUUUUUUUUUUGCUGUAAUUUAUGAACACACGAUUUGAUCUACGUUCAAAAGUAAUGCAAAGCGGGUUUCUAAACUUCAUUCCACUAGCUACUUCCUCUAAGAAAAAUUCCACAUCAUCAUUGGUUUGAAUUGUAACUGGUGGCAUAGGAUCAGAUGUCUUAAGUUUGAACUUCAUUGUGAUUUCGAAUUCCGAAGUAUCUAUAUCAAUAACUUCAACUAUCUUCUCCAUCAAUUCGGCAUAUAUUGUCGAUCGUGGUAUCAUUAUCCCUUUAGCCUUGAAACCUUUGAACUUAUACUCGUCAUUUUGCUCAAUUCAUUCACCAUUGAAGAGAAUAGCUUCAUGUAUUGCACUUACACGACUUCAUGUAUUUCACGACGUUCAUGUAUUACACGACCUUCAUAUACUACACGACCUCAUGUAUUACACGACCUCAAAAUUACACGACUUUUUUUACUGUUGUUAAUUCAUUAUAAUAACUUAGUUGUUUAAAGACUUAAUUUUUGCUAAGAAUUUAUAUUUGUUGCUAUGCAGAAAAUGUCAACGAAAAGUAUUCAGGAAAAAAUGAAACGAGGCAAACCGAAAGUGAAAAUUACUAAUUUGUCAUCAUUGGAACCAAUAAGAAUAAUAAAAAAUAACCUUAGUGACGUACAAUUGGGGAUUUUUCGCAAAUCAUGUUUUGGGCACUUUUUGGACUUGAAUGAGUUUCAGUUUUGUGCCCAGUUGUUGCACAAGUUGGUAUUAAGGCAUAUGCAUUCAUCCGAUAAGGCAAUGUAUUUUAAGAUAGGGAAAAAAGUUUGUCGAUUUUCAAUGUUUGAAUUUGCAUUAGUUACUGGACUGAAUUGUGAAGAAAUUUAUAAACCUAACUUGGACAUUGUUGAUGACGGUGGUCGUGUAUGUGAUGUUUUGUUGGACGGUUGCACAAAGUUCACUAACACAACGCUAGGUCAGAUAUUUGAAGCAACUAAGUCCAAGGAUGAUAUGAAAAUGGUUAAAUUUGCCAUGUUGUACUUUUUGGAGGUUGUAUUACUUGGAAAAGAAUAUAGAUCAUCUAUAAUUAGGGAUCACAUUCUCCACAUUGACAACUUUGAAGAUUUCAAUAAAUAUCCUUGGGGCCGUGUCUGUUUUGAGAACACAUUAGAAAGUAUGAAGAAUGUGAUUGCAAUUAGACAGAAUAGAGAAAGGGCAAAUCCAGACUAUGUCCCUGAAAAGGAGGCAUACAGUCUUCAUGGCUGUCCAUUUGCAGUUCAGGUAACAAAUUGUCAAUAUUGGUUUCGUAGAGAUUAUUAAGAUUAGGAAUAUUAAUUAUUUCUUUUACUUGCACAGGUAUGGGCACUUGAAAUUUUCAGUGAAGUGUGUGAAACUUUUUCCUCGAAAUGUAAGCAUGUCAAAUAUCCAAGAAUUCUAAAUUGGACAAUCACUAAACAUGUUAGCUCUAAUUCGCUUGACUAUUCCAUAUUUGAUAAGAAAAAGGUAAUAACAAACAAUCUAGAUCGUUAGUGUCUUUCUUUUUUUCUUUUUAAUUUAUCUUUGACAUUUAUUAAUUGGCCUAAUUAUUACAGCUUAAGGUACUAGAGAAGUUGGAUGUCGCUGAUGAAAUAGAGGCAUCACAGCCUAAUCUACAAUGGUUUUGGCAAACAAAUUGGCUGCAACAACUUGAAAAUGAUUUUCUUGUUGACUCAAAGAGUAAAAAAUCAGCCACUCCAGUCUCAGAACAGAAAAGUAGCAGUGUUGUGCAGAAAAAUUCUGUGGCCAUGGAAGUUAAAGAGACUAAUAAACGUGCGAAGUGUCAAGUUAUGUCCAUGAAAUGCAAAACGAAUUAUGAACAUGCAAAUUCUGUUGAGGACAAAACUGUAAGUUUUUUUAAUCUUUUAAUAACAAUUUCAUUUUUCAAUUUUUUUUGUUUGCCUAAUAGGCUCUGUCUUGUUCUGCUUGUAAGGGUAAACGUCCUGGUUACAUUGAUAAUUUGAUUUCUUUUAUCGAGGACAAGUUUAAUUGUUUGGAUAAGCGUCUCAAAAAGAUCGAAGAGAAGGUGCAGAAAAUUGACUCAUUGGAGGAGAAUACAGGUGAUGUGAGGGAGAUGAGAGAACAAGUCAAUAAAAUUGUAGACUUAGUGGAGUUCCUAAAUUCAGCGGACUACAAUGUGAAGGUUCAUUUUAUUAUUAUUUUUAACUAAGUAUGUUAUUAUUUUUAUCUAAGUACAAAUUGUGUAAAGUUAUUAAUAUUGCUGCUGUGCAGAUUCCGACAACAUUUGAUGAUAACCCGAGUAUUGCCACACCUGCGACUGUGUUUCCAAGCUUCACCACAAAUGCAGGCAUAGUCAAAGAGGAUCCAAUAAUUAUUCCGUCUACACAGCAAGAGGUGAAAAAAUAUGAAAGAAAAAGGCGAUCUCGAAAGGAUGCAGCUGUUUUACGCACGCCAUCUACUAACCCAUUUCGAAAAUCGCGACAUGUCAACGUCGAUGAAGCAAAACAGCAAGUUCAGUUUGAGCAUUGGCUGAAGGAGGAUAAUAUGGAACCGUAAUUCCUUAUUUCUCUUUGUAAACUUACUUUUAUUUGAAACAAUAUUUCUUGGUUGACUAUAACAAGUAAUAAGUUUUACUCAUAUUUUCUUGGCAGAAGAUUUGGUUGGUCCCUGAAAGAUGAGUUUCAGCAUUUGAGAAAGAUUUCAAUUCUACGUGGGCUUUGCCAUAUAAGGUACUGUCUUUUCGGUUCCUUUGGCAGCCGAUUAUUUUCAAAGCUUGAAUUUUGCUUGUAAACUUCACCCAGGUUGGGUUGGUGUUGGUUCCCAGAGAUUAUGAUAUGGAAUGCCCAAACCCAUUCACGAGAGAUGAUAUUGUCAGCAUGGUUCCUGUGUGCAAGGUAAGACUAUUUUCUCUCUUAAUUGUGUUUUGAUUUAGUUUUUACAUUCUCAAUGAGUCACUCAUUUGUAAAUUGAAUGUAAUUGUGCUAUUUUUAUGGCAUUCUACAGCAUGUAGGUUGCACUUCAGCCGAUGGACGGACCUUAUUAGAGUCAUCCAAAAUUGCCCUUGAUAAAGGAAAACUAGAAGAUGCUGUAAAUUAUGGGACAAAGGUAAUAACCCACUCGAUCUAUACGUAAGAAUUACAUUAUUCUUUUCAUAAUAAGGCAUCUCUUGAUCUCAUAUGAUGUAUUACUUGCAUUGUAAGGCACUGGCAAGGAUGAUAGCUGUUUGUGGUCCCUACCGUCGGACUACUGCAAGUGCUUACAGUCUUCUAGCUGUAGUUCUCUACCAUACUGGAGACUUUAAUCAGGUAUGACAAUCUUCAAUUGUAUUUCAGUGUUAACUUGGUGAUUCUAAGUCUAGUAUAAUUAUAACGUCCUUCUGUACGGGGGUUCUCAUUCAUCGGGACAUUUGAUUUGAAUUUUUGUAUGUUAUGGUUAGUUUUUAUGGUCUUGUAUAAAGAUAUGCAUUAGGAAUUAUAAUUUUCUGGACUUAGGAAUUACAUGUACAGGCAUUAGCAUAAUUUUGAUAUCAGAUUAUAUAUUUUAACUAAAUCAAACACGUUCAUGAUUCUUAUGUUCCAGCAUUUCGUCUAAUGGCAUCUGCGUCUGAGUGUUAGAGUAGUGUUCGUAUGUACUCAAGAUAUCUUCUUCUUCAUUUUAGGCAACUAUAUAUCAUCAGAAGGCAUUGGAUAUUAAUGAGAGGGAACUUGGUCUUGACCACCCAGAUACAAUGAAAAGCUACGGGGAUCUUUCAAUUUUCUAUUAUCGCCUUCAACACAUUGAAUUGGCUCUUAAGUGAGUAGCACUACUUGAUUUACCGGAGCAACUUUGUUUUCAUUCUUUAACUGAUUAAGGUUUAUUUAUUCAUAAAUUAAAUUGGAAGUUUCGAAAAAUGUGACCUUUGCAUUGAAUCUGCUUCGAACGAAUGCAGUUUUUAUCUACCUACUUUAGCUUUUAUUUGUCUUUUAUUGGCUCUAGCUCCUGAUCAUACCGUACCAUUGGCAGAUAUGUAAAUCGUGCCUUAUUCCUUUUGCAUUUUACUUGUGGACUUUCACAUCCAAACACUGCUGCAACAUACAUAAAUGUGGCUAUGAUGGAAGAGGGCAUGGGAAAUGAUCAUCUUUCUCUUAGAUAUUUGCAUGAGGCCCUUAAAUGCAACCAAAGACUAUUAGGAGGUGACCAUAUACAGGUUUUUCUCUCUCUAUUUACGCAUGUAUACACACUCUUUAGAAUUAUAAAUCUUUCUGUAAACUCAGAAUUUUGUUUGAUUUCUUCACGUGACAGACAGCUGCAAGUUAUCAUGCCAUAGCCAUAGCUCUUUCUUUGAUGGAGGCAUAUUCACUAAGUGUGCAACAUGAGCAAACUACACUUAAGAUUCUCCAAGCAAAGCUUGGACUAGAAGAUCUGCGUACUCAGGUGACUACAUGUAGUCAUAUUUUAAUUGGUUCUGUUGUGCAAUUUGGCUAGUUGGCUUCUCUCUUGUCAAUCUUUUACAGGUGAUAUUAUGAUAUAAAACAUAUUGUAUCGGCGGCCUAUUUUGGUGUUAAGUAUGGAUAUGACCCAUUCAUUAAUCGUAUCGAAAUAUCAAAAUACGGAUAUGACCCGUUUAUUAAUCGUGUUGACUUGUUUAAUAUUAAAUACAAACAAAUUAAAAAUUAAUUUAAAAAUAACAAAUGUGUCAAAAAAAUAAGUUAAAAUGACAUAAGUAUGACAUGAAUAAGUUUAUAACAUAAUAUGAGUAUGACAUGAGUCAUUAAUUUAGUGAUUAGUAUAUAUUUUAGUUUUUUUUUCCAAUAAUAUUAACACAUAAUAAUUGAUAUUUAUGUUAUAAACGUAUAAUCAUGUUGAGAUGGUCCAAAACAGAUAUGACCUGGUUAUUUAUCGUGUCGUGUCAACUCAUUUAUUAAUCGUGUCAAUAUUUGUUAACACAAAUAUGGGUCAUAUGUCGUAUUAUGUUGUGUAAUCGUGUCGUAAUCCAUUUUGCUACCUCUAAUCUUAACUGUCAUGAGAGAAUUUCUCAAGUUCCAUAUUAUUGAUGGGAAGAGAUUUUUGUUAUUUUGUUGUAUUUUGUUUUUCGUUUUACAGGAUGCUGCUGCAUGGCUGGAGUAUUUUGAAUCAAAAGCUCUAGAGCAGCAAGAAGCGGUACGGAAUGGAACCCCAAAGCCAGAUGUGUCCAUUGCGAGUAAAGGUCACCUUAGGUAUUAACAGGGUAUUCCCACAUUACUUGUUUCUAAAUUGUUGAUUAUUUCUUGUGGCACCAAGACCUAUAAUGAUCGCUUUUCGCAGUGUAUCAGAUCUCCUGGAUUACAUAGGUCCUGGUCAAGAUUCUAAAAGAAGCGAAGCACAUAGGAAACAACGACGUGCAAAGGUAGUACAUACUUAGUGCAUGUUUAGUAUGACUUAUCUAAUGGUCUUAAAUUUUUAUUUAAUCCUAUAAGCUCUUAUCAAAAUUUUUUGUGUUGUUUAAUUGUUUUUUUAGUAGAGCUCUUGAAAAUUAAAUAAACUAUUUUGCCUCUACUACAAAAAGCUCAAAUUUUGUGCUUUUGAGAAUAGAGGUUAAUUUUUUUUUAAAUGUUAAAUUAUCUAAAAUAUUCUCUAUUUAUAUGACAAUCUUAUUUUAUUCUUUUCAAAACAUAACUUUAAAAAAUUUGCUUAUUAAAGUAAUUUUAUAAUUUUUAAUAAAAGCUCUUAUUGACAACCAAACAACACAAAUUUUUGAGUAAAAACUUUACUUAUAAAAUCUUUACUAGCAGAACUCUACUCAAAUAAGAUCUAUUUGAAAAGCUAUGUGAAAUGAAGCAUUAAGCAUGCUGCUGUUCUCUGUUCCUUUUUUCUUGUGAUGUCCAUCUGAAUGGAUUCUUAAACUAAUUGUAGUUAGGAUUUGGUAUUUUAGAGUACACUCUGCUGGCAUAUAGUUUUGGAUUUGCUGAUUACACGAGUAAACUUGUUGUCCAUGCAAAAUGCAACUAACUAUUGCUGGAUAAUAGUUCUACUUUUCUGAGUGAACUCUGAAGGCACCAAAUAUAAACAUCCAUUUCUACCAUACCCCAACAAAAAGAAAUCUAACAUGCUUAUAUAGAUCACAGACAUGAUUGAAACUUUAGAAGGUUCUGAUCUAUUGAUGGCCAUAGAUUGGGCCAGCUGAUAGUUAGUAGGCAAUGAUGGAGGGUUGCUUGGUCAAGCUGCUAGUUCUUUAGAAAUUCAGAGAUGAUGAGCAGAACGAGUGAUAGUUUUUGUUUUACCCCGUAACCUUGAACAGAGUGAGAAGAAACCAUUAAUUUGAAGUGCAAUGGAUGGAUAUGACGGAUCUAUCAUUUUGGCUAGGAGAUGGAGUUCUUCCAUUCUACUGUUAUUUAAUGGUUGUUAUUAUUGAUUCUAGAAAAACAUUUUUCGAUUUGGCAGUUUGAGUUUUUCCCUUUUUUUUUUUUCCUCAUUUUGUAGGCCUUAGAGAACCAAAUAAUACUACAUAUUAGAAAGACAGGAUUAUUAUGUGCUAAUUUGAAGUAUUACCUGGUUGACAAUUUAAGACAAUAGUAAAGUAUUUCGCUGUGAUUAUUUUUUUUGAGAAUUCCAUGAUUCAAAAGGCUGAAGAAUUUCAUUAGUUUAACAUAAUAUAUAUUAGCAUAAUUUCUCACUGAGUGUUUUUUUCAACAUUUCAGGCAUGUACAUAUCAAAUUCCCAUUUAUGUUCCACUGAAUUCUGCCUCAUGUUAUGUCUGGAUUUGUUGUAAUAAAUUUUGCUAUUGUAAAAUUACAAGAUGAUUGUAACUUAAAAUGAAAUAUUUCUAUUUGCUCAAUUUUUGACAUUUUAUAUGCAUACAAGUUAAAAAGGUUUUGUUUUCUUUUUUUGGUUUAUUUAUUUUUUUCAGGUAAUGCAGAUUAGGGAAAAGAUUCCCCCAACAAAAAGAAAUCUAACAUGCUUAUAUAGAUCACAGACAUGAUUGAAACUUUAGAAGGUUCUGAUCUAUUGAUGGCCAUAGAUUGGGCCAGCUGAUAGUUAGUAGGCAAUGAUGGAGGGUUGCUUGGUCAAGCUGCUAGUUCUUUAGAAAUUCAGAGAUGAUGAGCAGAACGAGUGAUAGUUUUUGUUUUACCCCGUAACCUUGAACAGAGUGAGAAGAAACCAUUAAUUUGAAGUGCAAUGGAUGGAUAUGACGGAUCUAUCAUUUUGGCUAGGAGAUGGAGUUCUUCCAUUCUACUGUUAUUUAAUGGUUGUUAUUAUUGAUUCUAGAAAAACAUUUUUCGAUUUGGCAGUUUGAGUUUUUCCCUUUUUUUUUUUUCCUCAUUUUGUAGGCCUUAGAGAACCAAAUAAUACUACAUAUUAGAAAGACAGGAUUAUUAUGUGCUAAUUUGAAGUAUUACCUGGUUGACAAUUUAAGACAAUAGUAAAGUAUUUCGCUGUGAUUAUUUUUUUUGAGAAUUCCAUGAUUCAAAAGGCUGAAGAAUUUCAUUAGUUUAACAUAAUAUAUAUUAGCAUAAUUUCUCACUGAGUGUUUUUUUCAACAUUUCAGGCAUGUACAUAUCAAAUUCCCAUUUAUGUUCCACUGAAUUCUGCCUCAUGUUAUGUCUGGAUUUGUUGUAAUAAAUUUUGCUAUUGUAAAAUUACAAGAUGAUUGUAACUUAAAAUGAAAUAUUUCUAUUUGCUCAAUUUUUGACAUUUUAUAUGCAUACAAGUUAAAAAGGUUUUGUUUUCUUUUUUUGGUUUAUUUAUUUUUUUCAGGUAAUGCAGAUUAGGGAAAAGAUUCAUGGAGCACAUCAUGAUAUGAUGGUGGAAGAUGCACUGCCCAAUGAUGGAUUGAAAAAAAGUAUGACUAUAGUGGAAAGCAAGACCGAGGAGGUAAUAGAAGACCGUGUUCAACCUGAAGAGCCAGAAGAGAAUGAUGAUAUUACUAGAUAUGGACCGGCAAUUUCAGGUGAGUUUGUGGAAGAAACAAAUUCAGAUGAGGGGUGGCAAGAAGCCAAUCCAAAAGGUAGGUCAGGAAAUGCUGCUGUUCGGAAGCUCAGCCGGAGGCAACCUGUUCUUACAAAGCUAAAUGUCAAUGGUUGUGAACAUUCAAAUCUUAGAGAAAAAGGCAAUAGACGGGAAAUUGUAUCUCCAGUACGGGAAAAAGCUUCAAGGACCACCACCACUGAGUUAACAGGCAUAAAGGAUUCAAUUAAACAGGUGAGUUUGUGGAAGAAACAAAUUCAGAUGAGGGGUGGCAAGAAGCCAAUCCAAAAGGUAGGUCAGGAAAUGCUGCUGUUCGGAAGCUCAGCCGGAGGCGGCCUGUUCUUACAAAGCUAAAUGUCAAUGGUUGUGAACAUUCAAAUCUUAGAGAAAAAGGCAAUAGACGGGAAAUUGUAUCUCCAGCACGGGAAAAAGCUUCAAGGACCACCACCACUGAGUUAACAGGCAUGAAGGAUUCAAUUAAAUUGCAGGCAAAAGCUUCUGUCUCCAAAGUUUAUGCAAGUCCACCAAACCUUACUGCCAUGGCUUCCAAGUCGCUGUCUUACAAAGAAGUAGCUGUGGCACCUCCAGGUACGGUUCUAAAGCCAUUACCAGAGAAACCGGAUGAAGAAAUUGAAGAAAAAACUGAAACACAGAUGUGCAGUAAUGCUCCUGAGACAUCAAAGGCGGAGUUGAAUAACCAUUUCUCUCCCGUUGAAGAUGCGCCAGUUGAUGGUCAGUCUCAAGAAACUCAUGGAAGUGUAACUCAAUCUGAAACUACUGCUGCAGAUACCGAGGAAGUUCCUUCUUCUUCUAAUGAGGAAAAGCCCAUGGAAACAAAUGGGAGUAAGCUUUCUGCCACAGCUGAACCAUUCAACCCAGGAGCUGUCUCCAUGACUCAUCUGCUAAACUCUGUAGCAGCCACGAGUAUUUAUGAUGCGAGAACUAGUCAAGGUAUGCUUGCAGAACCUGCUGUACCUUCGGCUGCUGCUAGAGUUCCUUGUGGGCCAAGGUCGCCUCUCUAUUAUAGAAAUAAUUAUUCUUACAUGAUGAAACAUGGAUUUCCAAAAUACCACUCUUCCAUUAUGGAAAGAAACCUGUCGGGGCCUUCAAGAAUAAUGAACCCGCAUGCACCCGAGUUUGUGCCAAUGAGAGGUUGGCAAAUAAAUCCUGGAUAUGCAGAUUCAAAUGUUUCAAAUGAGUCGAACUCUUCAAAUGACACAAGUGAGGCAGACGAUGAGAAACUUGACAAAAUGUCCAGUAUUCAAGGCGAGGAUAAUACCUCAAGAAAGAGCAGUACAGAGGCGGAGAAGUCAGAGCUGGCAAGACAGAUACUACUUAGCUUCAUUGUAAAGUCAGUCCAGCAUAAUAUGGAUGCUCCAAGUCAUUCUUCAGGCUACGAAAAGAAGAUUGG
rnacentral:lncRNA from 1 species